rfam:Mesocricetus auratus contig191433, whole genome shotgun sequence.
CCAAAGGCUCUUUUCAGAGCCACCCACCCUCUCUCCAAAAGAACU